ensembl:lncRNA
AAAUCAGGGGUCAGUCUGAAAGUGGGGUGAGAGUCAGAGUGUGGCCAGAGUUGUUGGGGUUCGGCCAGACUGUGGCAGGGUUUGGGGAUACGUGUGGGCAGAAGUUGGCAGCAGUCAGUCUGGGGGCCCCGUUCGCAGACAGGGUGUGAGGGUUGGUCUGAGCAGCGUCAGAGGUCAAGGUUAGUGAGUCAGUGUGUGAGUAAGGUCAGUGGACCUCCGGAUCAGGGUAGUAGGUCACCCUGAGACCAGGAUUUGGGGCUUGCCUCUGACAAGCCAGAUAGGAGGAGGGCACUGGAGGCCUCAGAACUCAGAUUCCUAUCCCUCCGUGCUGGGGGCUGACCACAGCCUCCCCCGUCACCCAAGCCAUGGAGCUGACCUUCCAUGUGGGGCCACUCCCUGUGCUCAGCACCACUCUGCUCCUACUUUGUGCCAGAAGCUAGAGGCAGAAACCCUCAUCGGGCCAGACUGUGGUCAAAGGGAGCCCAGACUGGCGGUAACACUGGCCAUGGUAGGGUAGCCUUAAGCUUCUGGGGGACCCCAUCCUGGAGCCACCCAUGUUUAACAGCUCAUUUAAAUCUGUGCAAAGCAAUGGAUCACACAGAGUGGCCUCUGCCAGCCACCGCAGCCCUGCGGGUACUCUCUCUGUGAGUCUGGGAAUCAGACAGUUGCUGGUUGAACUCCGAGCUUUGUCGUGUGUGAGCUGUGCCAUCGACAGUGAAAUUGACAUUUCAGGAAGAUGUACCAGAUUUUUAUCACAUGGCUUUGUGAAACCCGGCACCCAGCCAACUUCACACACAAUCACAUAUGUGCAUACGGAUGUACGCUUUGAGAAGGCCAUGCUCCGCUGGGCUGCUUCCUAAAUGGGCCGAAGCAAGCCCUCUUAGCCCUGAGGACUGCCUGCGCUCUCUGUCCUGCUCAUCAUGCUCUGUGGAGUGAAGCGAGAAAGGGUGCUCACAUCUCAGCAGGAGCGUGUUCCUUGGCAAGACUGACCUGGGAGGAAUUCCUGGCUCUGGCCCUUAACCUGAGUGUCAGACCGUGGGUGCCAGUCCUGGCCCUCUCCUCUCCUUGCUGUGCAACCCUGGGCACCUAGCUUUGCCUCUCUGAGCCUCAGCUUCUUAUCUGUGAAACGCUUUCUACCUUUCAGGCUUGUUGUGAGGAUCAGAGAAAUGCAUAAAAAGGGCCUGCACAUAGUCAUGGCUCCACAAGUGAGAGCUCUUAAAAGUCUGGCUGGUGUUUUAGCUCCAUAAAAGCUAUCUUUUAUAUGUACUUUAAUAAAACGGGGCUACGGUCUGUGUGCCUUACACAAUUAAUACACUUUCUUGCAUUUGAACACAUCUGUUAAUCCAAUCAAGGUGUUUUUCCUCCUAAAUUAUCUUCUUUCAUAUUUUAUUCAUAUUUUACAAUGUCUGGGCACGUCGUUGAAGCCGACUGAGCCUCAGUUUCCUCAUCUCUAAAAUGGGAAAAAUGCCUUUCUUACAAGGUUGUUUCGAGAAUUCAACGAGACGGUGUAUGUGAAAAUGCUUUGUAGAUUGUAAAGUCGAACACGUGCCAGAGAUAUUUUCCUGUACGCCCCUCCCUCUCACUAGGCUGAAUUCCUCAAAGACAAGAGAGAGUUUUGUUGACCUUUAUUCAGCCCCAGCAUUGAAUGUGUACUAAUAAAUUUAAUAAUAAUGGUGAGGGAGAUAGGAAUUCUCAUUUCUUGAACGCUCCCUGUGAACGAGGCUCUGGGCUGAGGGCAUCCUAAUGGAAGGAUGAGUGACAGACGUUUAAAAGGUUUGGGUUCCCUCUGCUGCUGAUUGAAAGGUGAAGGGAUUGUCGUCCUUUUCCCUAGGGCAAGUUCUGUUUUCCAUGCUGCAGACAAAUUAAUUUCAUUCUUGGGUCUUUUCCAUUGUUUGGCCAAUCCAUUGUAUAACAAUAAUAGCACUCGUUAGUUUCCUUAUGUAUAAAAUGGGGCUAAUGAUCAACUGGCCUCAUGUAAAGGUGGCUCAUAAAUGACAGUAACUUUCCCUUCCUCCUUUCCUUCCUCCCCAGCUACGCACACCCUUCCCUUGGAGAAGAAGUUGGUGAUGGGGCGAGAUGAUUAAGCUGGGCGGCAAAGAGCUGAGUCCCUUCACCCCUCUGGGCUUUUGUUUCUUUUUGGCACAGGGUGGCAGAUCUUUUAGGAAUAAAGCCCUGAUUCUGAGACCUUCUGAGCCCUUCCUCAUUCAGAAAAUCUCUCUCAUCUGCCAUAGCACCGAAGAUUCCACUCACCAAAUACCACGUGUCCCCUCU